AAUCCAUCCACAACACAACUGUUAAGCUCAUGUUUCCUCUUCUGCUGCAAACAAUUGUAAAAAUGAUUGGUAUCUGCCCUGGUGGAGAGCCUGUCUGCUUCAUCCCCCGGGCUCCAACUUCCUGGAAGGGCUGUAUGUGUGAGAAACAGGCAUUCCCAAGACGUGCAGAUAAUAGCUUCUCACGGAGAACCUAAUCACUCAGCUCAGAGAGGAGAAACGUAAAGACUGUUUCAACAUACCCAAGAGCUCUCAAGCUGGAAGCCAGAAGCCCACCACAGACUCCAGGUGGGGCACCUGAAGGCAAGAUGGUUUAAGGGAAGAGCCUUCGUCUCUCUAGGCUUUGGCUUCUCAUCAGGACCUUUGGAACAGAUGCCCUCGGAACAGGACACAUACAGCAUCACCAGCCAUCCUGGAGAAGACUUACGCCUACUGCAAAAUAGACAAACUUAAAUCAGAAGAAAAGGUGGGGC